AGAGCGAACGCUGGCGGCAGGCUUAACACAUGCAAGUCGAGCGGGCGUAGCAAUACGUCAGCGGCAGACGGGUGAGUAACGCGUGGGAACAUACCUUUUGGUUCGGAACAACACAGGGAAACUUGUGCUAAUACCGGAUAAGCCCUUACGGGGAAAGAUUUAUCGCCGAAAGAUUGGCCCGCGUCUGAUUAGCUAGUUGGUGGGGUAACGCCCACCAAGGCGACGAUCAGUAGCUGGUCUGAGAGGAUGAUCAGCCACAUUGGGACUGAGACACGGCCCAAACUCCUACGGGAGGCAGCAGUGGGGAAUAUUGGACAAUGGGCGAAAGCCUGAUCCAGCCAUGCCGCGUGAGUGAUGAAGGCCCUAGGGUUGUAAAGCUCUUUUGUGCGGGAAGAUAAUGACGGUACCGCAAGAAUAAGCCCCGGCUAACUUCGCGCCAGCAGCCGC
rnacentral:rRNA from 1 species